rnacentral:rRNA from 1 species
GACGAACGCUGGCGGCGUGCUUAACACAUGCAAGUCGAACGGAAAGGCCCUGCUUUUGUGGGGUGCUCGAGUGGCGAACGGGUGAGUAACACGUGAGUAACCUGCCCUUGACUUUGGGAUAACUUCAGGAAACUGGGGCUAAUACCGGAUAGGAGCUCCUGCAGCAUGGUGGGGGUUGGAAAGUUUCGGCGGUUGGGGAUGGACUCGCGGCUGAUCAGCUUGUUUGUGGGGUAUUGGCUUACCAAGGCUCUGACGGGUAGCCGGCCUGGGAGGGGGAACGGGCCCAUGAGGACUGAGAUACGGCCCAGACUGCUACGGGAGGCAGCAGUGGGGAAUAUUGCACAAUGGGCGGAAGCCUGAUGCGGCAACGCCGCGUGCGGGAUGACGGCCUUCGGGGUGUAAACCGCCUUCGCCUGUGACGAAGCGUGAGUGACGGUAAUGGGUAAAGAAGCACCGGCUAACUACGUG